GGUGCUGCCACACUGGAUGCCUGGGGAGCUUUUGUUGUGGGGGGUUAAGUGCCUUGCUCUAGGGCACAACAGCAGGCAAUGAUGUCUAAGAUUUGAUACCAGUAAUCCUCCGGUUGCCAGCUCACUUCCCGACUGAUUUUUCCCGUCGGACCCGGGAUUCAAUCUUGCAACCCGGUUGCUGGCUCCCCUCUCUAACUGCUAGCCUACCUGCCACCCUUUAUGGGUGAUUGCACAGUAGGCACAAGCUGCAAUCCAAACUUAGAGCCUCAGCUCCUCGUAAUCCGGCUACGGCUCUUCCAGCUCGCACGUCAGCUCCUCCAGCUCCGGCCUCAGCUCUGCUGUCAGUUCCUCCAGCUCCGUCCCCAGCUCCUCCACCUCCACCACACGCAAGGUGGUGAUCGUCACAGAGGAAUUAGUGGAUGGCAAGGUUGUCUCCACAAGUGAAACCAAACAUACCUCUUAAGGUCCCACACACACAGCGAGCACUGCAGCAAGCAACGGUUUAACCCCAUAGAAAUAUAAUCACCAGAAUGGGUAUAGGAAAUGAAAGGCCAGCACAUGGAAUAUUAGUGCUUUGUUCAUGCAACCUAAAAUACAACGUUACAACUUAUACAAAGUCUUCGUCAGAUGAAAAAUCCCUAUUUUCGUUAUCUGUCUGAUUUGUUAAGGGCAGUUCUGGUUAACUCUAGUUUAAGAUAUGAAUUCCAUCCUACUAUUCUUUCUAGAAUGGCUAAAGCCCCUCAGAUACCCAUCAUGGAACAUUGACUUGAAUGGGGAUUUAUUUUCUGGUAAUUCUAUUUCUAUGGUUAACAACUCCAGAACAACAUAUUCUACUACAUCUGAAUGGGACACCAACAACAGACCCCAUUGUGAAUACAAUAAAGAUGCUCUGACUUGCUGACACCAUCA